CCUACGGGAGGCAGCAGUGGGGAAUAUUGGUCAAUGGACGAGAGUCUGAACCAGCCAAGUAGCGUGAAGGAUGACUGCCCUAUGGGUUGUAAACUUCUUUUAUAUGGGAAUAAAAUGUUCCACGUGUGGGCUUUUGUAUGUACCAUAUGAAUAAGGAUCGGCUAACUCCGUGCCAGCAGCCGCGGUAAUACGGAGGAUCCGAGCGUUAUCCGGAUUUAUUGGGUUUAAAGGGAGCGUAGGUGGAUUGUUAAGUCAGUUGUGAAAGUUUGGGGGUCAACCGUAAAAUUGCAGUUGAAACUGGCAGUCUUGAGUACAGGAGAGGUGAGCGGAAUACGUGGUGUAGCGGUGAAAUGCUUAGAUAUCACGAAGAACUCCGAUUGCGAAGGCAGCUCACUGGACUGCAACUGACACUGAGGCUCGAAAGUGUGGGUAUCAAACAGGAUUAGAUACCCUUGUAGUC
rnacentral:rRNA from 1 species